rnacentral:lncRNA from 1 species
AUGAAGGGAUCAGAUGCACCAAGAUUGAAGACAAAAAAUGUGAAUUCUAAAAGAAUUUUCAUCUCAUCCUUCACACUAAACUGGUUAACCCUCACUUACAAGCCACGACUGCAGGCUCAGACCACCUUCAUUAAUUUCGCUGUCACCAGGGACAGGCUGAAAGACCAGCUGUUGGCUGAGGUUGUUAAUGCAAGACUCAAAAAAACAUAAGGGCUGCGUGUGGGAGAGAAGAGAACACGAUGCGAUCUCCUGCUGGUCUGCACCACAGUGAGUCCCCACGGGUCUCUGUUGGCUGCCUCCAUUCUGACACUGCUCUCUGACUGUGCUUGCAGAAGUUCACCUUCCUACUGUUAAGCCAUCCCACAGGGCCAGGAAGGAAGACUUUGGAGGAAUUCUGUGUAAACAAUUCCCCGUCGUAAACCUACCAAACGAUCUAAUGCAGCGAGUAAGGGAGAUCACCCACUCUAAAAUUACCAGCUUGUUCAAGUGAGAC